UCCCUCGAGCCGGAUUUGAACAGCGACCUAAGGAUCACCGUUGUAACAUCUACAGUCCUCCGCUCUACCAACUGAGCUAUCGAGGG